UUUGUUUUUCCUUUUCUUCUCUCUUUCCCUUCAGUCUUCACUCCAGAAAAUUUCUCUCUCUCUCUCUCUCUCUCAAGCUCAAGCCAUAAGGGUUUCAGACUCAAUAAAGGACCAACAACUCUGCCACUGGAAUGGUUCCAGAUCUGGUUUACUCACAAAACUCAUGCCAUACGCUGCCGUUUAAAGCUGGGUGGUUAGGUUGUGAUCUAUGAGUAUGGUGGCUGGGUCGCGAUCUAGGAGGAUGGUGGACGGUGGUUUCUAGGUCAAGUUGAGUGGUAGGCGGCAGUUGCUGGGUUGAGAUGAGUGGUGGGUGGUGGUUGCAAGAUCACAAUCUGGAGCUCGCCAUUGUGGAUAUGAAUCAUGUGAUGUUGGAUGGUUGGGUUUGAGGAGGAUAAAUGGGUAGCAAUAAGUGGUGCUGUGGUGGACGGUGGUUGCUGGGUCACAUGAUGCUUGCCAUUGUGGGUCACGGUUUUGUUUUGAAAUUUUUUUGAUUUGGGUCUGUUUGAGGAUGUUGGAUGAUUGAUUGGUUGAGUUGAUCUAUGUUUGAUUGAGUUGAUCUAUGUUUGAUUCUCUUGUGUGAUGCCGGAUCUACUUGGGUUGAUCAUUGUAGUGAGAUUUUUUUUUUUUUUUUUAUUGCUCUGUAAAUUUAUUUUCCAAAUGAGACUAUGUAUGGUU